GUCCCUAGUGAAGAUGUUGA
rnacentral:siRNA from 1 species